AACGUAGGACGCAAGCGUUAUCCGGAGUUACUGGGCGUAAAGCGCGGGCAGGCGGCUCGAAGCGUCUGAUGUGAAAUCUCCUCGCUCAACGGGGAGAGGCCAUUGGAAACGGUCGGGCUGGAGGGCAGUAGAGGUAGGCGGAAUUCCGGGUGGAGUGGUGAAAUGCGUAGAGAUCGGAGGAACACCAGUGGCGAAGGCGACACGCUGGGCCGUACCUGACACUGAUACGCGACAGCAUGGGGAGCGAACGGG
rnacentral:rRNA from 1 species